CAGUUACUGUUGGACCGCGCGCUGGCCCGAAUCCGCGGCGUUGCACGUCGCUGAAUCCAAUCGCGGCCGACUUCCGACAGGAAUUUCGCGGAGGAACGGCGAUCCGGAGCGCGCCACGGCGACCUUGACUCCUGCCCCCGAGUCACGAGGUCGCACGAGGAAUCAACGAAAACCGAAGAUGAUACCGGAUACAGAGGCGGCAUGUCAGACUUCCGAAGCUGCGGUCGACAGCGGUGGCGACGUGUACGGGAAGAUCAAGGACCGACCGGAAAAGGAAGCGGCGUCGGUGACCGCAUGGAAGCGAUAUCAGCGGCUGGUGGCCGCGAUAGAAUCCAGAGGCGGAGAGUUUAACCGGAAGUCCGUGAUCGAGGCGAUCUUUCGCGGCAGCGAUCUCGUCUACGCCAGCCAUUGAUCGGUGGAUCAAUCGGGCGCAAGGAUCGGGAAUCUCUUGCGCGAUCCUGUACCAAAGUGUGCCAGUAUCGAGUCGAGUUUACGCAUACAGUGGCAUAGAAUUCGCGAGUCGCAAUGCGAUCAUUUGGCGAGCAGAAAUAAUAUAUUUGCAUUAAUACUUUGUAGCACGAGAAAUUAUACAAUAAGAUUGAGAGAUUAUUUUACAAACUGCUAGGGAAUCGAUAGUCGCUGUAAACUCUUUGUCAAAACGACGAUUAUUCGUUUCACUUAUUAGUCAUGUUAGUUAGUAGACGAUUGGCCUGCGUGAAAGACUGUUAUCCGUAGAGCGUUAUUUUGUAAAGCGUGAAUAGCUGCACAAACUCAUGAGCAUAUUUGCAUAAUUAUUGGUUAUUUGCAUAAAUAAUUGUCGCUCGAAAAUGAACUUUCGUAAAUACGAAUUAAUGCUGGUAGCGUCGUAUCCGUUAAGUGGACCAUGUUUAUAUAAUACAUACACACGUGUACUCGCGAAUAUUUCUCGGUGUAAUAAAUUUGUGCUGCGCGACAUCGAGGAUAGGAUGUAAGAGAGCAGUUUGACGCGGGUAACGUGGCUGUGCAUUAUACUUCGAUGUCGAGCGCACUAUUUUUAGACUCACGAGGAGAGGGUUUACAGGUUCCGGGAGACGCGGACGCUUUCAUAGAUUUACGUAAAAUCAUUAUAUACGGAUGUCCUUGCAAAGGAGAACUCCAGACGAGCCAUUCUCGAAGGCAGGCCUUUGUAAGGCACGUAAGCGUUCUCGUUAACGGCCAGGUCCGAAUUGCAUUAACAAGUCGAGCGUCAUUCCACUGUACACGAUACACUUGUUCGAGUGGGAACAAAAUUGCGUUACUUACGUAACACGAACGUAGCUAUAUGCGAGCGAGAAAGCUGAAAAACAGUACAAUUAAUGCGAGAUUUAAACAAUUUAAAAAAUAAUUUAAAAAAUAAUUUAAAACGUGAGAUUUUAACAAUUUAUUAAUGCGAGAUGAGGCUUUACGGAAACACUGAUACAUUCAUCAAUUAACGAGCGAACGUCUCUCUAGGCGGACUCCAGUUUUCGAGAAGAAGAACGAGAUGAUUCUACUGAUACUCAUGGAGAUGAUUGCAUGAAUUAUAAUGAUAUGUUUGCGAAUGUGGGUUAACGCGAGCGAACGCGUUUCUGCGCCACUGGUCAAUACAAUCGUAGAUAGGGGUAUGAUUAACGAUGCCAAACCGUGUAUUACUAGUCAACGUGUGCAUAAUAAAUCGCUCGAGUAGGAUAGAUCGUUUAAUUAGACAAUUACCACAACGUCGACCGGUGCGGCGUGGUGAUUACGGCGUCUCUAUCACGCGAUAGACGACGGAGGGCGUGCCUGUAAUCUACCGCAUGAGCUCAUGCGACAUUGGCUAUGCUCAAUCUUGCCAGCAGCGAGCAUUGCUCACUCUGUGUGUGUGUGUGAUAAAAAGGGAAAAGGAGAAAAAGAAGCAAUGCGCGCGAGCGGCUGAAGCUAACGAUUUAUUCCUAAAUCCAAGAGAUUAACAUAAUCGUACUUGGAUGAUUGAGAGAUAAGCAGUAUUGCAGGUUCUAGAGAUGAGGGAUGAGUUGUAGAGAAAUCAGUUUAAUAAAGUGGAUUAUAUUUAUUUC
rnacentral:lncRNA from 1 species